AACUUAAAGGAAUUGGCGGGGGAGCACCACAAGGGGUGAAUGCUGCGGUUUAAUUGGAGUCAACGCCGGGAACCUUACCAGGGGCGACAGCUGGAUGAAGGCCAGUCUGAAGGGCUUGCCAGACUAGCUGAGAGGAGGUGCAUGGCCGUCGCCAGCUCGUGCCGUGAGGUGUCCUGUUAAGUCAGGUAACGAGCGAGACCUCCGCCUCCAGUUGCCACCGUCCCUCGAAAGGGGGGCGAGCACUCUGGAGGGACUGCCACCGAUAAGGUGGAGGAAGGAGGAGGCAACGGCAGGUCAGUAUGCCCCGAAACCCCUGGGCCACACGCGGCAGAUAAUGGCGAGGGCAGAGGGCUCCGACCCCGAAAGGGGAAGGUAAUCCCUAAUCCUCGCCGUGGUUGGGAUCGAGGGCUGCAACUCGCCCUCGUGAACGUGGAAUCCCUAGUAAUCGCAUGUCACCAUCGUGCGGUGAAUACGUCCCUGCUCCUUGCACACACCGCCCGUCGCUCCAACCGAGUGGGUUUGGGUCGAGGCCUGGUCCGAUAAGGGUCGGGACGAGACCUAGGCCUGCGAGGCGGGAGAAGUCGUAACAAGGUCGCCGUACGGGAACGUGCGGCGG
rnacentral:rRNA from 1 species